UGCCUGUUCGAGCGUCAUUAUAACCCUCAAGCCUAGCUUGGUGUUGGGGCAUGCUUUCUGCAGCCCCUAAAAUCAGUGGCAGUGCCCUUCGGCUCUAAGCGUAGUAAUACUCCUCGCUAUAGAAACCGGUGGAUACGCGCCAGAACCCCAAAUUUUCUAUGGUUGACCUCGGAUCAGGUAGGGAUACCCGCUGAACUUAA
rnacentral:misc_RNA from 1 species